rnacentral:sRNA from 1 species
CGGGGUCGGGCCGGGGUCUGCACCUGGGACAUCCCUGAGGAGGGAAGGGCCGGGAGCAGGAGCGCCCCAGCAUCGGGCGGGCGGGCGAGCGGCGCGGAGCCGGCCGGGGACGCGCGCCGAGGGAGCCCCGUCCCCGGUCGUGGGGGCACCGCCCGCAGGCUUUGCGGGGUGGGCAGCUCCCGGGCCUGCCAUGAGCUCUCCGCCGCCCGCCCGCAGUGGCUUUUACCGCCAGGAGGUGACCAAGACGGCCUGGGAGGUGCGCGCCGUGUACCGGGACCUGCAGCCCGUGGGCUCGGGCGCCUAUGGCGCGGUGUGGUGAGCGCGGGCCGGGCGGGGCGGGCGGGGCGGGCGGGGCGUGCGCGGGGUGCCCGGCCUUCCCGCUAAGCGGUCCGCUCCGCAGCUCGGCCGUGGACAGCCGCACCGGCGCUAAGGUAGCCAUCAAGAAGCUGUAUCGGCCCUUCCAGUCCGACCUGUUCGCCAAGCGCGCCUACCGCGAGCUGCGCCUGCUCAAGCACAUGCGCCACGAGAACGUGAUCGGGCUGCUGGACGUAUUCACUCCUGAUGAGACCCUGGAUGACUUCACGGACUUUUACCUGGUGAUGCCGUUCAUGGGCACCGACCUGGGCAAGCUCAUGAAACAUGAGAAGCUAGGCGAGGACCGGAUCCAGUUUCUCGUGUACCAGAUGCUGAAGGGGCUGAGGUAUAUCCACGCUGCUGGCAUCAUCCACAGAGUGAGUCCCGGUGGAGGAGCCGCCCAUCAGCCCUCCCCCAGUGCAAUCCCCCCGCCUCCACGUCCCACCUGUGAGGAUCUGAUGGGGUCUGGGGGCUGAGCCACGCCCCAUGCACAGCCCCUGGUGGGAGCCUGCCUGGGUGCCCAGGACCUGAAGCCCGGCAACCUGGCUGUGAACGAAGACUGUGAGCUGAAGAUCCUGGACUUCGGCCUGGCCAGGCAGGCAGACAGUGAGAUGACUGGGUACGUGGUGACCCGGUGGUACCGGGCUCCCGAGGUCAUCUUGAAUUGGAUGCGCUACACGCAGACGGUGGACAUCUGGUCUGUGGGCUGCAUCAUGGCAGAGAUGAUCACAGGCAAGACGCUGUUCAAGGGCAGCGACCACCUGGACCAGCUGAAGGAGAUCAUGAAGGUGACGGGGACGCCUCCGGCUGAGUUUGUGCAGCGGCUGCAGAGCGAUGAGGCCAAGAACUACAUGAAGGGCCUCCCCGAAUUGGAGAAGAAGGAUUUUGCCUCCAUCCUCACCAAUGCAAGCCCUCUGGCUGUGAACCUCCUGGAGAAGAUGCUGGUGCUGGAUGCGGAGCAGCGGGUGACAGCGGCCGAGGCGCUGGCCCAUCCCUACUUUGAGUCCCUGCACGACACGGAAGAUGAGCCCCAGGUCCAGAAGUAUGAUGACUCCUUUGACGACGUGGACCGCACACUGGAUGAAUGGAAGCGUGUUACUUACAAAGAGGUGCUCAGCUUCAAGCCUCCCCAGCAGCUGGGGGCCAGGGUCUCCAAGGAGACGGCUCUGUGAAGAUCUCUGGGCUCCAGGGUGGCAGUGAGGACCACCUUCACCUUCCUCCUGAGAGGGGACUCUCGUUGCCACCUUGACCUUGACUGGGGUUUGCAUCCCGAGGCAUCCAUCAGAGCAGAGCCCCGGGUUCCAUGGACCCUCCUCCCCACAGCCAUGACUCUGCUCUUGGGUGCCCAUCAUGGAGGAGCACCUGAACUUUCUGGACAGGACCUCUGGCUGACCUGGGGAUGGCCUCUGAUCCCUGGAGCAGUGGCCCACUUGCCUGGUGCCCUCAGAAACCUCAGAGCUGGUGGGGCUCCAUAUCAGGCCUUGGCCUCUGAGCCCUGCCUGCUCUGGGCCAUGCAGAGGAAUGACAGAGGGCGGGCACAGGGCACCAACUCAGGGACAUCCCCUCUCCUGGGCGACGUCAGUGGACCUUCCUGCACCCCUAGCCUGGAAUGUAAAUUAGCUGUGUGGUGCCCACGUGGCUGGAAGGAAAUAG